UCAACUGCCUGUGGUUUGAGAGUGAGGAACUGAAAAUGCAAGGUGUCCACUCACUGAAUAGUUUAGUAUAAAAUGGAAUAAAAUGCCCCAAAAUAUGCUUCACACCAAUAGCAUCUAAAUAUUGCCCUAGUGGGGAAAGAGUGUGGUGGAGAAUGGGUCUUUUACUGUAUACCACUACAUGCCACUCAUAGAAGCCUACACACUGAUGCAGUCCAUGACAGCAGGUGCUGCAGUUGCAGCCACACAUAACAAAAUAGUACAAAACAACAGGACAGACAACAUCGCUGACAUACAACAUGUAAACACAGGGCCUCUGUGUAUGUGCUGCAUGUUCUAUGUUAUCUAUUAUGGAAUAUUACACAAAAAUAAGCAACGCACUAUCUGUUGAAAUUAUUACAGGUCAUAUGUUCUUUCUGAGGUGGCACUAUAGGUGGACAAGCCUAUAACUGAAGGUGCGCCUCUGUAUAGACAAAAUGAUGCAAAAGGCGAGAGUCUGUAGAACAUUUUUUGCUUGUCUUUUUUUUAAAAAUAUAAAAAAAACAACUGUUUCACAGAGCACAGGCUUUCAUGCAUUAUGUCUCAUUGUUUUUUUUUUUUUGUUUUUUUUUGGUGGGUGGGUGUAUUAAAGUGAUUUUUUUGUUGAAAUGGCACCAGAUAUUCUUAGCACACACAGGAUGUUUGUCUUGCUCCGAGGCCCAUGUAUACUAUGAAAUUCAUCUCAUGAGCAAACAUGGUUAAAGUACAUUUAGCCGUUUUUUGUAAACAGAGAACAAAACGGACUAAACUUCACACAUCAAAACCUACGAAGAAACAUUCAUAAUAAAUGUUUGUUGGCCAGCUUUGUAUCUCCACACCUAUACAAUAAGUUAAAGAUUUAGCAAACACAACUCAAAAUGCCUGUGAUGCACUGUGACAGGUAACUAAUUUCUCUAAGUUUCAUUAGCUGUACUUUUGUAAAAGGCUUAAUUUUGUAAGUAAAAUAAAUCUUUGUUACCCAAAUGCACCUUGCACGACGAUGAUCAGUUCCAUCUCAUUUUCAGUUUGAGCAACAACGCCACCCUGUGCUGAAGUUUGACUAUGCUUCAAGGGAUUAUGAAUGUAGAGCAGGUUACAGCCAACAACGUUUUCCUCCAUUCAUACUUGAAGUAAACCUCUGAUGUUAUCACAUAACUAAACCAUGACAACUGUGAAUACCGUAUUAGUUAGUUGCCACAAUGCUUGUAUCAACUGAAGUCAAAUAUUCUACUUAAUCUAAAUAUUCUGUCACCCAUACACUAUUCCAUUUUCAUUCAGUUCCCAUUUUACUUGGGUAAUCUAAUUAGAAAGGAAAGGUAUCUAGACAACAGCAGAGUGGUUUUAGAAAGUAACUAGAGGCUCGCUGAGACAAUGUAUAUUUGGUAGACAAGUUCUUUACAUGUCCUUAAGAACCUGAAUAUAAAAAAACUUUCACCACUCAGAAGUUACGUUGGUAUCUUUAUUUACCUGGCCCUUUUGGUCUUACAUCAACACUUCAAUUAACUAUACAAUACAUUCAUUCCAUUCUCACAAAAAAAUCACUCAUAAUAUUAAAAUGAU